rnacentral:lncRNA from 1 species
UUCUUCUUCAGAACGGGGUGGAGACCCCGUAAAUGGGGUGGAGACCCCAUUUGGGCAGCCCCGAACGCUCUUGGAACCUUCCUUCCCUUUUCUCCUUCCUUGCUCGCUCGAUCCUUACGCCGUUUCUUUCACCUUUUAGCCUUUAAUCCACCCUUUAUCCUCCUCCUAGGAAACCUACACAACACCACAAGAACACAUCAAAAACACCACAUACUUGAGGCCAAAUCAUCAAUUUAAGUCGAAACGAAGGCAUUCCAAGUGGAUAUAAAAUCCACUUAUCACACCCCCAAACUUGAACCGAUGCUUGUCCUCAAGCAUAGACAAACACACCAACUACUAAUGCAAUGCAUGAAUGCAACUAUAUGCCUACGUCUACUCGAAUCAUGAAG